AGAGUUUGAUCCUGGCUCAGGACGAACGCUGGCGGCGUGCUUAACACAUGCAAGUCGAACGGAAAGGCCCCUACCUUUGGUGGGGGUGCUCGAGUGGCGAACGGGUGAGUAACACGUGGGUGAUCUGCCCUGUACUUCGGGAUAAGCUUGGGAAACUGGGUCUAAUACCGGAUAGGACCAUGGUUUAGUGUCUCAUGGUGGAAAGAUUAUUGUUUUGGUGCAGGAUGAGCUCGCGGCCUAUCAGCUUGUUGGUGGGGUAAUGGCCUACCAAGGCGUCGACGGGUAGCCGGCCUGAGAGGGUGGACGGCCACAUUGGGACUGAGAUACGGCCCAGACUCCUACGGGAGGCAGCAGUGGGGAAUAUUGCACAAUGGGCGCAAGCCUGAUGCAGCGACGCCGCGUGGGGGAUGACGGCCUUCGGGUUGUAAACUCCUUUCGUUAGGGACGAAGCCACACCUUUUUUUGGGUGUGGUGACGGUACCUUUGUUAAGAAGCACCGGCUAACUACGUGCCAGCAGCCGCGGUAAUACGUAGGGUGCGAGCGUUGUCCGGAAUUACUGGGCGUAAAGAGCUCGUAGGUGGUUUGUUGCGUCGUCUGUGAAAUUCCGGGGCUUAACUUCGGGGUGGCAGGCGAUACGGGCAUAACUAGAGUGCUGUAGGGGAGACUGGAAUUCCUGGUGUAGCGGUGGAAUGCGCAGAUAUCAGGAGGAACACCGAUGGCGAAGGCAGGUCUCUGGGCAGUAACUGACGCUGAGGAGCGAAAGCAUGGGGAGCGAACAGGAUUAGAUACCCUGGUAGUCCAUGCUGUAAACGGUGGGCGUUAGGUGU
rnacentral:rRNA from 1 species